AUUGAGAGGUCGAGUGAUAAGCUGGAGUCUUCUUUUCUUCCUUGUGCUCGAGUGUCUCGUUGAGUGCGAAAUGAAGAAGACUCUGAAGCUUGCAGUCGAGUAUGUAAUCGAGUGAUAGAGAUGAUGGUACUCCGUUUGGUGGUAGAAUAGUGUGAUCUAGUGAAGGUGAAGUGGUGGAGGUGAUGAUACUCGACCAGGGGGUCGAAUGGUGUGAUCGAGUGUAUCUCUUGGCGGUACUCGACCAGGGGGUUGAGUGGUGACAUGAUGUGCUGAGGUCUUCUACUCGACCAAGGGGUAGAGUGGUCUGUUGAAGUCGUGAAGUGUCUACUCGACCAGGGGGUCGACUGGUUUGACAUGAUCAUGUCCGCUUCUUCCAAUUAGCUCGUCAACAGUUCCAAAUCACCUGAAAUCAACACAAAUAUGCAACAUGCAUGCAAAACUAUCCUAAACAUGCAAAGUGAUUACAAAU
rnacentral:sRNA from 1 species